rnacentral:tRNA from 13 species
AGGCACCGGCGAGAUUCGAACUCGCGAUCUCCUGUUUACUAGACAGGCGCUUUAUCUAUCUAAGCCACGGCGCC